rnacentral:rRNA from 1 species
CGACUCUCGGCAACGGAUAUCUCGGCUCUCGCAUCGAUGAAGAACGCAGCGAACUGCGAUACUUGGUGUGAAUUGCAGAAUCCCGUGAACCAUCGAGUCUUUGAACGCAAGUUGCGCCCGAAGCCAUUUGGUCGAGGGCACGUUUGCCUGGGUGUCACAC